UAUUCUCUGCGAAAAUAAAAUUAUCCAAUCAGAGAAGCUUGAUUUGAGGUGUAUACUAAAAGAUGCCUCAGAGACACUCGAAGAACAACAACGAUCUCGCCUUCUUCACCUAAGACGAGAAGCGGAAGCUCGGAUAUGGAACGCAGAAGAAGCGGCUUUCUUAAGAAAGUUAGCGGCCCAUGCUACUCAGAAGAAGCAAGAACAGGAAGACGAAGAAGAGAGGUUGAUGCUGCAGAAGGCUGUGAAUUGGUCUUAUCCCCCAUCUUUGUUCCUCAUUGAAGCCACAGACGUCAAACAUCGUGUGGAAUAGGAACGCCCUUCUUCAAUGCCCGACAAUGGAGAUGCUUCGCUCUAGGUAAUAUAUUUUCAUGUGCUGUCAAAUUGUAUGUAAGAUUGAGAUAUCUGUACACAAGACAAGCACUUGGCCUUCCCAUAUUUAAUAUGGGAGGACCAUUUUCUGGGCCGACUGGAUAUUGCAAUUCCUUUUCAUUACAAGAAGAAUUAUUAAGCAACCAUUACUUGUUCA